rnacentral:piRNA from 1 species
GUUAUGAGAAUCUGAACUGAAAAACCAU